UACGAAGGGGGCUAGCGUUGCUCGGAUUGACUGGGCGUAAAGGGCGCGUAGGCGGCCCGCUAAGUCAGACGUGAAAUCCCUCGGCUCAACCGGGGAACUGCGUCUGAUACUGGCAGGCUUGAAUCCGGGAGAGGGAUGUGGAAUUCCUGGUGUAGCGGUGAAAUGCGCAGAUAUCAGGAGGAACACCGGUGGCGAAGGCGGGUCUCUGGGCCGAUACUGACGCUGAGGAGCGAAAGCGUGGGGAGCGAACAGG
rnacentral:rRNA from 1 species